UACGAAGGGGGCUAGCGUUGCUCGGAAUUACUGGGCGUAAAGGGCGCGUAGGCGGGUUAUCAAGUUGGAGGUGAAAGCCCAGGGCUCAACCUUGGAAUUGCCUUCAAAACUGAUAGCCUAGAGUAUGAUAGAGGUAAGUGGAACUCCGAGUGUAGAGGUGAAAUUCGUAGAUAUUCGGAAGAACACCAGUGGCGAAGGCGACUUACUGGAUCAUGACUGACGCUGAGGCUCGAAAGCGUGGGGAGCAAACAGG
rnacentral:rRNA from 1 species